CAUACCACCCUGAAUGUGACCCAUCUCGUCUGAUCUCGGGAGCUAAGCAGGGUCAAGCCUGGUUAGUACUUGGAUGGGAGAAAGUUAGAA
rnacentral:rRNA from 1 species